rnacentral:pre_miRNA from 1 species
GGCUGUGGCCCGGAAGUGAUCGGGGCCGCCGCAGACGGAAGGGCGCCUCUGCUUCGUCCGCUCGGCGGUGGCCCAGCCAGGCCCGCGGGA